rnacentral:rRNA from 1 species
CAGCCGCCGCGGUAAUACGUAGGUGGCAAGCGUUGUCCGGAAUUAUUGGGCGUAAAGCGCGCGCAGGCGGUCCCUUAAGUCUGAUGUGAAAGCCCACGGCUCAACCGUGGAGGGUCAUUGGAAACUGGGGGACUUGAGUGCAGAAGAGGAAAGUGGAAUUCCACGUGUAGCGGUGAAAUGCGUAGAGAUGUGGAGGAACACCAGUGGCGAAGGCGACUUUCUGGUCUGUAACUGACGCUGAGGCGCGAAAGCGUGGGGAGCAAACAGGAUUAGAUACCCUGGUAGUCCACGCCGUAAACGAUGAGUGCUAAGUGUUAGGGGGUUUCCGCCCCUUAGUGCUGCAGCUAACGCAUUAAGCACUCCGCCUGGGGAGUACGGCCGCAAGGCUGAAACUUAAAGGAAUUGGCGGG